UACGUAGGGGGCAAGCGUUGUCCGGAAUCAUUGGGCGUAAAGAGCGCGUAGGCGGUCCGGUAAGUCCGCUCUGAAAGUCCGGGGCUCAACCCCGGGAGGCGGGCGGAUACUGUCGGGCUAGAGUCCGGAAGAGGCGAGUGGAAUUCCUGGUGUAGCGGUGAAAUGCGCAGAUAUCAGGAGGAACACCAGUGGCGAAGGCGGGUCUCUGGGCCGAUACUGACGCUGAGGAGCGAAAGCGUGGGGAGCGAACAGG
rnacentral:rRNA from 1 species